UACGAAGGGGGCUAGCGUUGCUCGGAAUUACUGGGCGUAAAGCGCACGUAGGCGGUCUUUUAAGUCGGGGGUGAAAUCCUGGAGCUCAACUCCAGAACUGCCUUCGAUACUGGAAGACUCGAGUCCGGGAGAGGUGAGUGGAACUGCGAGUGUAGAGGUGAAAUUCGUAGAUAUGCGGAGGAACACCGAUGGCGAAGGCAAUCCCCUGGGCCUGCACUGACGCUCAUGCACGAAAGCGUGGGGAGCAAACAGG
rnacentral:rRNA from 1 species